CGAUUCCUCCCGCGGCGCGAGGGCAGGGGCGCAGGCGGCAAGCAGAAGCUGAGGACGAAGGUGAUCAAGAAGAAUACCAAUCCGGAGUGGAGCGAGGAACUCACCCUCUCCAUUGAAGACCCUGCACAAUUGCACAUCCUGUCAGGCUGUAUGAUAGCGGAUAAGGAAUACCUACUACAACAGACCAUGGCACAAACACAAGGAGAUGAGAAUCCAGCUGGAGACAAUGAGGAUACCAUGAUUCCAUAAAUACCAUUCGCAGUGGGAUAGCUGGUGCUUUGGUUAGUGCAAGAGGGGGAUAAUUAUGUAGAGUGAGACAACAUUAUUCGAACCAUGUCCUUUGUAAAUGCUAUCGUUGUAAUGUAGACCACAUGUAAAUGGUGGAUUCAAGACUAAAAAAAUUAAGCUUCCCUUUCUAAAACGGUCAUUUACAUGUGAAUCUCUGAACAGUACAGUGUUUUAUGAUUAUUUUCCAUAUAAACUAUCUCUCAGGAGUUCAGGAGCA